rnacentral:rRNA from 1 species
GACGAACGCUGGCGGCGUGCCUAAUACAUGCAAGUCGAACGCUUUUUCUUUCACCGGAGCUUGCUCCACCGAAAGAAAAAGAGUGGCGAACGGGUGAGUAACACGUGGGUAACCUGCCCAUCAGAAGGGGAUAACACUUGGAAACAGGUGCUAAUACCGUAUAACACUAUUUUCCGCAUGGAAGAAAGUUGAAAGGCGCUUUUGCGUCACUGAUGGAUGGACCCGCGGUGCAUUAGCUAGUUGGUGAGGUAACGGCUCACCAAGGCAACGAUGCAUAGCCGACCUGAGAGGGUGAUCGGCCACACUGGGACUGAGACACGGCCCAGACUCCUACGGGAGGCAGCAGUAGGGAAUCUUCGGCAAUGGACGAAAGUCUGACCGAGCAACGCCGCGUGAGUGAAGAAGGUUUUCGGAUCGUAAAACUCUGUUGUUAGAGAAGAACAAGGAUGAGAGUAGAACGUUCAUCCCUUGACGGUAUCUAACCAGAAAGCCACGGCUAACUACGUGCCAGCAGCCGCGGUAAUACGUAGGUGGCAAGCGUUGUCCGGAUUUAUUGGGCGUAAAGCGAGCGCAGGCGGUUUCUUAAGUCUGAUGUGAAAGCCCCCGGCUCAACCGGGGAGGGUCAUUGGAAACUGGGAGACUUGAGUGCAGAAGAGGAGAGUGGAAUUCCAUGUGUAGCGGUGAAAUGCGUAGAUAUAUGGAGGAACACCAGUGGCGAAGGCGGCUCUCUGGUCUGUAACUGACGCUGAGGCUCGAAAGCGUGGGGAGCGAACAGGAU